UUAAAGGUGCGUCUCAUCUCGUCCGUAAAGAUUUCUAGCCUAUGUCGCAGGGUGAGUUCAUCCGUUGAAGAAGUCGCAGAAGGGACAACAAGAAUGGACGAUCGUGAAGGAAAUUUACCUCGUCAAUUUUUGCUCCGACGCCUCACGAAUCCAGGACAGUUUCACGCGGGAUUUUCAACGAGUACAGAUUGUAUAUUGGAAUGCUCGAGUGCUUCGCCGCCGUAAAUAGCCAUCACCCAGUGCAGACGUUGGGAACCUUUACAAUACCAAGGGACGCAUUUCAUCCCCACACUCCCUCGUCGACUUUGUUCCGGGAGCCGCAGAAGUGUCCACUUCUUCCUCGACUUCCUCAUCUCAUCGUCACUCAUGUAGUUGUUCCUCCUCGACAGCACCAAAACCUCGU